GCCACACUGAUACAAUAUAGUUUAAUUUCCAGCCAAGAUCAGAGUUAACCGAGACAUAUAUGGUGGAUAAAAAGCUCUUAAAAAUAUGGGUGUUCCGAGGAAAGUAUACCACUAGGGAAUGUGGGUUACAUUAGUAAUGGAGGAAUAUUUUGAGAGCAAACGAAACUAAAGUGUUGCCACGGUGACGGUGGUGGUGGGCAUGACACAGAUGCGGGAGGUGGAGUUUGUGCCCGAUGGAGACAUGCAGGUGGACAAAUUGUGUUGGUCAUUGGUCAGACUGGAGUUUACAUGUGUACCUCCUUCACCAUCAUUGGUGGACACUUCACCUUGAGUGAUGCUUGAGCUGUCAUGGUGUUGCUGGUGCUGUGUGCCAUCAUCACCCUGACACAGACCACCCUGCAGACACCUUCAUCCUGGGUGCCACACGUCGCUGCUGCUACAACUCAGAGCAACAAGAGCGCAAGCCAGGAAGGGAGAUGUGUGCAGGUUUGCAGUAAACCUCCCUGAAGGUUCCAGAGCUGCUCAGCAAGUGUCCAGUCCAGGCUGUCACAAGACUGUGUGACAGUGGACCUUCCACUCAUACUGAAAACAGCUGUGCACUGCCACUCACAGGAAGUGGUGACCACUCUAGAUUGAGUUGCCUUGAAGCUGAGAUGAGUUGGUCAGCUAGUGAGUGGCUUCAAUCAAGUGACUGUGAGGUGUUGCCUUCAAUCAAGUGACUGUGAGGUGUUGCCUUCGAUCAAGUGACUGUGAGGUGUUGCCUUCAAUCAAGUGACUGUGAGGUGUUGGCUUCAAUCAAGUGACUGUGAGGUGUUGGCUUCGAUCAAGUGACUGUGAGGUGUUGGCUUCGAUCAAGUGACUGUGAGGUGUUGGGCAUGGUAUUGUGUUAUUGCAAGUGUAACCAUUAAUAAGUAAGUUCUUUCCUUAUAACUCUUCAUACAUGGAUUGCCAUACAUGGACGGAUAAGGCCCUUGUACAGAGUCAUCAGCUGGGGGUGAGAAAAACUGGUGGAGAUGUCUCAGAACGCCUAACUUCACAGAAGCUGUUUUAGCUAGAGAUGAAAUGUGAAGUUUCUAGUUUAGAUCAUAAGUAAAGGACAGACCAAGGAUGUUCAGUGUAGAAGAGGGGGACAGUUGAGUGUCAUUGAAGAAGAGGGGAUAGUUUGGAAGACUGUGUUGAGUUGAUAGAUGGAGGAAUUGAGUUUUUGAUGCACUGAACAAUACCAAGUUUGCUCUGCCCCAAUCAGAAAUUUUAGAGAGAUGAGAAGUGAGGUGUUCUGUGGCUUCCCUGUGUGAACUGUUUACUUCCUGAAGGGUUGGAUGUCUAUGAAAAGACAUGGAAAAGUGCAGGGUGAUGUCAUCAGCGUAGGAGUGGAUAGGACAAGAAGUAUGGGUUAGAAGAUCAUUAAUGAAUAAUAAGAGAGUGGGUGACAGGACAGAACCCUGAGGAACACCACUGUUAAUAGAUUUAGCAGAAGAACAGUGACCGUCUACCACAGCAGCAAUAGAAUGGUCAGAAAGGAAACUUGAGAUGAAGUUACAGAGAGAAGGAUAGAAACUGUAGGAGGGUAGUUUGGAAAUGAAAGCUUUGUGCCAGACUCUAUCAAAGGCUUUUGAUAUGUCCAAGGCAACAGCAAAAGUUUCACCAAAAUCUCUAAAAGAGGAUGACCAAGACUCAGUAAGGAAAGCCAGAAGAUCACCAGUAGAGCGGCCUUGACGGAACCCAUACUGGCGAUCAGAUACAAGGUUGUCAAGUGAUAGAUGUUUAAGAAUCUUCCUGUUGAGGAUAGAUUCAAAAACUUUAGAUAGGCAGGAAAUUAAAGCAAUAGGACUGUUGUUUGAGGGAUUAAAACUACUACUACUACUACUACUACUACUACUACUACUACUACUACUGCUACUACUACUACUACUACUACUACUACUACUACUACUACUACUACUACUCUCAUCUUGCCUGACUUCCAGACCAACAUUUACUGUGUAGAAAUGGCACAGUCUACUCCUUUAGUUCUUUUCCUUUCUAGAAUGUGCAUAUCAGUGUACCCUGUCGUGCCUCCCAUGCUGUGUAAUGCUGCAGUGUUGAUUGUGUGUGUGUGUUUCCCUCAGGUGGCACUGUGGAUAGCAAGCGGAAGAGGCCUUGGGAGACUUCCGUAAAUGAGGAGCAACAAGCACACCUCACUGGAGUCUUUCAGGAACCAACAGUCAGGGCUGAUGUGAAGGUGUCUGCAGCCAGUGUUUGGUCUCCUCUGUGCCUGGUGGUGGUGCCUCAUUGCAGGGCCUGAUGUGAAGGUGUCUGCAGCCAGUGGUGGUGCCUCAUUGCAGGGCUGAUGUGAAGGUGUCUGCAGCCAGUGGUGGGUGUCCUCUGUGCCUGGUGGUGCCUCAUUGCAGGGCCUGAUGUGAAGGUGUCUGCAGCCAGUGGUGGUGCCUCAUUGCAGGGCUGAUGUGAAGGUGUCUGCAGCCAGUGGUGGUGCCUCAUUGCAGGGCCUGACGUGAAUGUGUCUGCAGCCAAUGUUUGGUCUCCUCUGUGCCUGGUGGUGCCUCAUUGCAGGGCUGAUGUGAAGGUGUCUGCAGCCAGUGUUUGGUGUCCUCUCUUCCUGGUGGUGCAGCCUGAUGUGUUGCCUGCUUCAGUGUAAAUCUUGCAAGCCAGAUCUGCCAGGUGUCUCCAGUGUAGUAGUCUAGGGUGCUUUGCUUUGUGUCUUUGGCAAUAAAUAAAUUUGUGAGUAUCAUUCUCAUGUGAAUUAUAUAGUUUGAUAAAAUUACAGAAUGUGCUUGGGUAAACUAAAUUUAUAUAUUGGUGGUAAACAAUUCAUGCAUCCCCAAGUAAAUAAGUAAAAUAAAUAGGACCCAAAACAAUAGAUGCAAUAUAGAUCAUCCUCUGGUCAAAAAAAAAAAAAAGCCAGGAUUGGCCCUUUUUUGGCUAAGUUUAAGGCGAAACUUGCACACAGAAGCCUUGUCCGAGCGACACCGGAGUCGCUCGGACAGGGCUUCUGUGUGCAAGUUUCACCUUAAACUUAAACCAUUUUUGGCUUUGACCAAAAAUGGGCCAAUCCUGGCUUUUUUUUUUUUGACCAGAGGAUGAUCAAUUGUUACUAGUAUUUUUUGCUUCCAUUUUUUUUUUUUUUUUAUCAGGGCUAUGAACUGGUUACAUCAGAAAGCAGCUUAUUUGCAAUUUGUAAAAAGAUUUUAGUAUAUAAUUCCACAAGUAUGAACAAGAUGAUUAAAUAUAUUUGUUUAAAUCACAUUGCCAAAGUUUGUGAGGAGGCAUGAACUGUUACACCAGAAAGCUUGUUUAUUUGCAACUUGUUAGUAUAAUUCCCUAAGUAUGUACAAGAUAAUAUAUAUAUUGUUUAAUAAAUCAUUAUUGUUUAAUCAUUCCCUAAGUAUGUACAAGAUAAUAAUAUAUAUAUAUUGUUUAAUCACAAAAGUUUAAUAAAUACACAAUAGGAUAAA